UACGUAGGGUGCGAGCGUUGUCCGGAAUUAUUGGGCGUAAAGGGCUCGUAGGCGGUCUGUCACGUCGGGAGUGAAAACUCAGGGCUUAACCCUGAGCCUGCUUCCGAUACGGGCAGACUAGAGGUAGGCAGGGGAGAACGGAAUUCCUGGUGUAGCGGUGAAAUGCGCAGAUAUCAGGAGGAACACCGGUGGCGAAGGCGGUUCUCUGGGCCGAUACUGACGCUGAGGAGCGAAAGCGUGGGGAGCGAACAGG
rnacentral:rRNA from 1 species